UGGAGAAAGUCAUAAGAAUCAGGGAGCCUGCCCCAAAUUGCCUCCUAUGAUAACUUUCCACAAAGACUGGAGGGGAGGCUUCAAACAUCUUCCUGCAGUGUCCAGCAAGACAGCGAGGCAGACUCCCUUUCUCCUGCCAAAGCCACGUGGAGCCAGACAGAACCACAAGCAUACCUGUGGUGCUUGGAGGCCCAAGUAGAAACUUGAAUGCUCACGGCUGCAUUGGCAGCUUCUACUUGCCUGCCUGGAUCACCGUUCCUCAUGAGAACUUGGAAAAGCAGGACUAUCAUUCUUGCUUGACAGACGAAGAAACCAAGCCUCAGGACUGCGUGCAAUUCUACUUGGAGAUCUUCAUAACACCUUAAGGGAAAAAUCCUUUUUGAAAGAAAAACAAGUCUGGGUGGUGCUUGAAAAUUCAGAAGGCAGCUAGAAACUCUGCCAAUUACAACUGGUGAUUGCUGAGUUCUGGAGACAGACUGGGCUUCUGCUUUCUUUUGGUGGAGGUGUCUGCUUGCAGAAAAUUUAUGUUCUGGGAUUUACAACUUCAGGGAGACAAAGGAAACUCCAGCUCAUCUCCCACAUCAUUGAUUGAGAGGACCAUUUUCUGACUGUCUGCACACGCCUCCAUCCAAUUGGAUGGCACCUGUCCACAUUGAGGGCAGAUCUUCCCACUCAGUCCACUGGCUCAUAUACCAAUGUCCUCUGGAAACACCCUCAUAGACACACCUGGAACAGCCCCAUCAUUCAUCGUUCUAAUCAAAAGCAACACAGGAAGGGGAACAUCACACACCACACACCGGGGCCUGUGGUGGGGUGGGGGGAGGGGGGAGGGAUAGCAUUAGGAGAUAUACCUAAUAUUAAAUGACGAGUUAAUGGGUGCAGCACACCAACAUGGCACAUGUAUACAUAUGUAACUAACCUGCACAUUGUGCACAUGUACCCUAAAACUUAAAGUAUAAUAAUAAAUAAAUAAAUAAAUAAAUAUGUGGUAAAAAAUCCCCCCCCCCAAAAAAAAGUGAAUCCACCUGGGUUUUCCUUUCAGCAGGAGAGAGACAGGCUCAGUACCUACUGCUGCACUGAGAAUAAUUGAUGCUUUACCAGCUAUCUGGGUAUCCCUCAAUCUAGUCAAGUUGACCCCCAAAAUUAACCAUCACAGUACAAAAGGACUGACUUGCUUGGGAUUAUGCAGGUCAGACUGGCUUUUAGAUUUCUGGGUUGGGACAAAAGAUACCAGGAUCUGUGGUCAUGAUUCACUCUGGUGAGGGAAAAAUGUUGUGGGUGAGGUAUUAUGUUUUGUGCAAGAGAUAAUUUUGACUCCAGGUCUGUUUGUCCACCAAAAGCCUGUCUUCCCACUAUGGCACAUGUCAUUGGUACAUAUCCCACAAGUUUAGCAAAUUUAAUUGGGGAAGUCAGAAAAGAUGUUGCCUGGAAGAAUGGCCUCAGGAAGAGGAAAGAGUGGGAGCCACAGGCUGAUUGGAUGUAACAGGAGAGCCGCUCUAGGGAAGAAGAUUGGCCAAGAUGGAGGCAGUGGGAUGGGGAGGAGGAGACACAACACAUUUAAUAGCUCUCCUUUGGCCACAGUAGCCUCGAAGAAAUGGAAAUUAGUACUUAAAUUAUGUAGGAAGGUAGACUAUAGUACUGAGCACAAGAGAGAAUUUUCCCUACUAUUGCUGUCCAAAGGUGUUAUCCUGUGAAGAAGCUGAGACUGACUGCAUCAACAAUAACUAGCCUUCGUUAUGGAGGUUUCCUAUGGUCCUAAACUUGACUUCAAGGUUAAGUUCUGUUAGGCACUAGCACUCCAGAAGGGUCAACCUCCUCUGAAUCCUGAUGCAUUCAUUCAUGUCUCAAUUAAGGGAAAUGACAUCAUUUUAGAGAAUUGGCACUUUCAAGGGGGUCAGUAAGUAAACUUACAGUAUUAAAUGGACUCGUCAAAUGGCAAACAACACACUUUCCAGUGCACAGAAAUGAGCAGUGUUUUCCUCUGAGACUCCUCUUUUCCUCCUCCGCCAUAGGUAACAAUCCUAGACCAGUAUUAUUCAAUGUUCCUCUAGGUACCCUCUUUAUUUUCCUGAGAAGGUAGAACAUUCUUCUGUUUAGCAUUUGUUUUCCUGUGUUUUCAUCUAAAAAACCAUCUGCUGUAUUCUCAGAAAAGGGUUUCUCAGGAGGCGAGGAGUUAGGACUGAUGUAGAGGUGAUGUGAAGUGGAGGUGGAAAAGAAAAUGAAUCAGUAGAGCUGCUUGUGAAAGCUGACACAAAGUCUGUAUUAAGACUUUUGGCUCAAGUUUUUGUAUAUUUUUGGGUGCAUUCUAGGUUUACAGAAAUAAUUUUUAAAAGCAAAAAUAAAAAUAAUAAUUGAGAGCUAGGCUGGGCACAGUGGCUCACACCUGUAAUCCCAGUGCUUUGGGAGGCUGAAGCAGGCAGAUCUCCUGAGGUCUGGAGAUAGAGACCAGCCUGACCAACAUGGAGAAACCCUGUCUCUACUAAAAAUACAAAAUUAGCUGGAUGUGGUGAUGCAUGCCUGUAAUCCUAGCUACUCAAGAGGCUGAGGCAGGAGAGUUGCUUGAACCUGGGAGGUGGAGGUUGUGGUGAGCCAAGACUGUGCCAUUUCACUGCAGCCUGGGCAAGAGCGAAACUCCAUCUCAAAAUACUACUACUACUACUACUACUACUACUACUACUACUAAUAAUAAUAAUAAUAAUAAUAAUUGAGAGCUAAAACAUAUUUCACCUGUAGGGCACUAUCUCAAUCUAUUCUGGGACUGAGAUCAUUUGGGGCUGCUGAGAGAAAAGCCGACAUAAAAUGAAUUUUUGUGGCCUUGUUUUUAAUGUGUAAGGUCAUAAAAAUGAGUAUCACCACCUCAGAUUGGAGCAGAUAUGCCAAGAGUCAGCUUCUUUGUGCCUUUUAUCAAAGCCACGCCUGCACUAUGAAUCAUGGUCAGCUUGUGGGUCCACCAAUAAUAUCGGUAUUGUGAAUAGCUUCGGGUUAAUAUGUCCAGACAUAUUUUACUGAUUGAAGUGGAGAUCUUUGGCUCUACAAACCCAUUGGUGCUGGCAGGCAUUUGUUGCACACGGAACCAAGGGUCUCUGCACACAGAUUAGCAUAUUCCAAUCGGUGGAAAGGAUGCUGGGGAUGGGCUCCUCCUCUUCCCAGUCCCACAUAGUCAUCAGUGUGUGAUUGUGCUUUUGGAAUGACCAUGAGUAUACACCAGGAACCCACUUGUUGCCAGACACUUCUUGUGGGCUUGCAAUAGUUUCACUCUCCUGAGAAAACUGGGGCUUGCUUGGCCAUAGUGAAUACCAUACCCUUUUCUUCUGCCUGUCUCUCCUUGAAGGAAGCUUUAUGCUCAAAGAGACAGUAACUACUAAACAUCUCUUUUCCUUUAAAGGAACGGGACGUGGAGUUACAAAAAUAUGACUCUAAAUCUGUGUUUGUCUUUUCUCUACUUCCAGGAUUGUUAGGUUACCAUUGUGAAACAGUUUUCAGCAUACAAAGUGCUGUCAUGUACAUUUUUCUUUUUUUUUUUUUGAGACAGAGUCUCGCUCUGUCACCCAGGGUGGAGUGCAGUCGCGUGAUCUCCACUCACUGCAAGCUCCGCCUCCUGAGUUCACGUCAUUCUCUCUGCCCCAGCGUCCAGAGUGGCUGGGACUACAGGUGCCCGCCACUACGCCCGGCUAAUUUUUUGUAUUUUUAGUGUAGAUGGGGUUUCACUGUGUUAGCCAGGAUGGUCUCGAUCUCCUGACCUCAUAAUCCACCCGCCUCGGCCUCCCAAGGUGCUAAAUUAUUUAUUUUAUUCUGGCAGGAAGAUGUCAGUCAUAAUUGUGCUAGGAUGCAACAUCUGUAUAUGUAAAGAUAUGUCAAGGACCUAGACACUUAAAUUGGCCCAUUUAUUAAUAGAGGCAAGGCAGUUAAGGGAGAAAUAUCACAUUGGCAGCAUUUAGCUAGAAGGACAAAUUCUCAGUCAUCAUUAAAUGCCCAGAUGAUACAAAGACUCAGCUUUUCCCUGGGAGAACUCUGUCAGCUAAGUAAUAGGAUAAACACCCUGCUUAUCUAUACCAAACAAAUCUCCCAAACUUAUACUUCUUUGGAGACAUACCUCCUCUUCUUAUUCAUUUUUACCUAGGCAAGUAAAAAUGUAGACAUGAUUAAGAAAUCAAGGACUCAGCUUCCAACAAAUGCAAUUAAGGCCACAAACAAAACUACACUUAAUUAUGAAGUUGAAUGGUGACAUGAUCAUUCUCUGUGUGCUUUCUAUGGGUCACUUGCCAAUCAGAAAAUGCCACAUCUCAUUCAUCACAGAAACAAGGGGCUCUUUUGCUCAAAGUUAAAAUGUGUAUUUUAAAAACCCCAACAGUUCUCAGGUUCUGUGGUUCACCCCUAGUAAUGUUGUAGAGUUACAUGAUUGCAUUCACUACUGACAUUCUUUGUAAUGUGAAAGAAAAGAAAACUCAUUGGCAGAGGAUGCUGAUUAAAGCAUAUGCCUAAAAAAUUUUCCACAGCACUUAAAUGCUUAAAGAUUCAUUGCCACAGUUUGCAUAGGAAAAACACUCUUUUAGAAGACAAGUUAGUUUUCCUAAGUAAGCAGUAUGAAUAUGAAUUUAGAAGCAGCCAAGUUUUAAAGUAAAAUCUUUUUAUUUGAUAUUGAUACUUGUAAUCAUUAUUUUUUAUUUGAAAAAUACUACCAACUACUCAGCUCUGUGAAAGCUUACUAUGUUGCCAGAUUUGCUUCAGAUCUUUAAAAGUAAUAAAAUAUUACAACCACAUUUGAAGACCACAUGCUCCUGUCUUCCCAGUGGUGAGCACCAUUGUGUACUUGUAUCACAUUGAACGUGUAUAUGUUUAUUGACUAUACAAAUUUCCUUUUCUGUAUUUUUUCUUUGUUCAUUUAUCUAUUAAGCUAGCACUUUCUUACUAAUUUGUUAUUAGGUUGUUGCAAAAGUAAUCGCUGUUUUUG
rnacentral:lncRNA from 1 species